GUGGGGAAUCUUCCGCAAUGGACGAAAGUCUGACGGAGCAACGCCGCGUGAGUGAUGAAGGUCUUCGGAUUGUAAAGCUCUGUUAAUCGGGACGAAAGAGCCUAGUGUGAAUAAUGCUAGGAAGUGACGGUACCGGAAUAGAAAGCCACGGCUAACUACGUGCCAGCAGCCGCGGUAAUACGUAGGUGGCAAGCGUUGUCCGGAAUUAUUGGGCGUAAAGCGCGCGCAGGCGGAUCUGCCAGUCUGUCUUAAAAGUUCGGGGCUUAACCCCGUGAUGGGAUGGAAACUACAGAUCUAGAGUAUCGGAGAGGAAAGUGGAAUUACUAGUGUAGCGGUGAAAUGCGUAGAUAUUAGGAAGAACACCAGUGGCGAAGGCGACUUUCUGGACGAAAACUGACGCUGAGGCGCGAAAGCCAGGGGAGCGAACGGGAUUAGAUACCCCGGUAGUCC
rnacentral:rRNA from 1 species